UACGUAGGGGGCAAGCGUUAUCCGGAUUUACUGGGUGUAAAGGGAGCGUAGACGGCUAAUCAAGUCAGAAGUGAAAACCCAGGGCUCAACUUUGGGAGUGCUUUUGAAACUGAGUAGCUAGAGUGCAGGAGAGGUAAGCGGAAUUCCUAGUGUAGCGGUGAAAUGCGUAGAUAUUAGGAGGAACACCAGUGGCGAAGGCGGCUUACUGGACUGUAACUGACGUUGAGGCUCGAAAGCGUGGGGAGCAAACAGG
rnacentral:rRNA from 1 species